CUCCUUUAAGUUUUGCUCAAUGCUAAAAUUUUAUUAGCUCCUGAAUUCUGGAAGAAAAUUCUUUAGACAGGAUCUUUGGUAUUAUACUCUCUCCCCUGAUACUCUAUCCCCAUUUUAGCUGGAGAUAAAAGAUGGUGUAAAGAAUUGCAUUCUGUAUGCUGCCUUUUGCAAACAGCACUAGCCUUAUGAAACCUUUGCCUUACAGGUUCCCCUUAAGCUCUGUCUUCCCUCCCAGAAGUUAUAACAUAUGUCACAAAUAGAACAAAUAUCUGCCUUUUCCAGGUUCCAUUAACUCCGUGAAAAGGGCUCAGCUAGUGCCUUUAUCCUCACCCUCUGAAGUUGAGCUCACUCUUUGCUGAUGGUGAUAUUUGGAACUUGAUGGGACACCAGAUGUCCUGGCAGCCUUUCGUUAAUGUGGAACUCUAUGAUCAGAAAGCUGAGUGCCUAUAUUUGCAUAUGAAACUGUUCUCUAUGGCAGUGCUGGGAAUAUUAAGUGGCGGCCAUAUUUUCAUGAAAACCCUUCAUCUUUUGAAAAGAAAUCCAAAGUAAUCACAAGAAAUAUUCAGAUGGAACGUUUGUGGCCCACCUAGCCGGAUCUACAAAUAUCAGGCCAUCUGAAACCCUCAGCUCUUGUGAAACAUCUAGUUGUCAGUUACUGUGCUAUACUCUAAAAUUGUCUCAUUCACAAGCAAGAAUGCUGUAACAAGACACAAAAACACAAGGGUCAUCAUCAAAUAUAGACAAAAAAAACCAAGUGUAGUGCAAAGUGCUGCUUAGGCUCACCAACCAGCCACCAGGAGUCCUUUGGGAAGAUUUUGAAACAGUGGGUGACAAGUCACGAAAGCUGCAGGAAUGUCAAGCCCAAAACCUUGGCUACAGAAUCGGAGUCUAAAGAAAUGACGGUGGCUUACUUUAUUCUUUCUCAAGACCCUGAUUAGAAUACCAUAGUGAAGGCACCCAGUUCGGCACUUGUUUCACAAGACUACAGUAGGAACCGAGAGGCAGCAGAGAGAAAAACAAAGUUGAAAUAGAACUGAAAAAAAAAAAAAGAAUAGAACUGUGAAGACAGGCUUAAUCUCUUAAAGAUAUUUUCCAGGUGGAUUGACUGAGCUGUGCAAUGUUUCCAAACCCGUAGAUAAAUCUCCUGGUCAAUCCUGGUGUCACCAAUGACCCUUAAGAUUGGCCCUCCACCUCUGUCAUGAAAACAUUUCACGGAUGCUUUAUUCUCUCUUGAAAAGGAGACACACCUAGGUUUUGGAAUGUGGGCUUUCCCAUUCCAGGCUAAGGGUGAAGUGUGCUAUGGUUGGAUUAAAUCUUUACUGCAGGGAUGUUUGAGAAUAAAGCCACAGGGUUGUUUUUAUUAAAUUUAAAA